AUGUGCAUCCCAAUACACAUCCUGUUGCUCCUGCAGAUGCUGCCUGGUUUGCAGGGUCAGGUCUUGACAGAGUCUGAACCAGCGUUGUUAAGACCGGGCCAGUCACAUAAACUGACCUGCACUGCAUCUGGAGGGCUGGACUUUGAUAGCUACUGGAUGGCCUGGAUCAGACAGGCCCCUGGGAAAGGCCUGGAAUUUGUUUCAAUUAUUGAGUAUGACAGUGAUAAUAAAUUUUACUCCAGCGCUGUUCAGGGACGGUUCACCACCACCAGAGACAACCGUGUAGACCAGGUGUAUCUACAGAUGAACAGUCUGAAGGCUGAAGACACGGCUGUGUAUUACUGUGCCCGCAGACACAGUGAUGCAAGACUCCAGAGAGCUUCAGUCCAGGGGAGGUUCACCAUCUCCAGAGACAACAGCAAGAGCCAGGUGUAUCUGCAGAUGAACAGUCUGAAGGCUGAAGACACAGCUGUGUAUUACUGUGCCCGAGAGACACAGUGA